AUAAUUCCAAGCAAAUUCUCUCCGGGAAGAGGCAAUAGUGAGACUGAAUGGUAGUGUAAAUAUCGUAGAUGAGGCCGGCCAGUCAAAUGCUAAUACAUAAGAAAUCCUAAUGUUGCGAUGGCAUCAAUAAUACUGACACUUUGGUAUUGAGGAAGAUUUUCGGCAGCUUUGAGGUUCUUGGAUAAAUGUAUAUGUUCAUGAAGGUAUUGGCAGAAU
rnacentral:misc_RNA from 1 species